UACGAAGGGUGCAAACGUUGUUCGGAAUUACUGGGCGUAAAGGGCUCGUAGGCGGCCAACUAAGUCAGACGUGAAAUCCCUCAGCUUAACUGGGGAACUGCGUCUGAUACUGGAUGGCUUGGAUCCGGAAGAGGGAUACGGAAUUCCAGGUGUAGCGGUGAAAUGCGUAGAUAUCUGGAGGAACACCGGUGGCGAAGGCGGCAUCCUGGGCCGGUAUUGACGCUGAGGAGCGAAAGCCAGGGGAGCAAACGGG
rnacentral:rRNA from 1 species